rnacentral:rRNA from 1 species
GCAUCUAAGCGUGAAGCCCCCCUCAAGAUGAGAUUUCCCAGUAUGUAAGACCCCUUGAAGACGACGAGGUAGAUAGGCUGGGGGUGGAAGUGCAGUAAUGCAUGGAGCUGACCAGUACUAAUCGGUCGAGGGCUUAUCCAA